GACGAACGCUGGCGGCGUGCUUAACACAUGCAAGUCGAACGGAAAGGCCCUGCUUUUGUGGGGUGCUCGAGUGGCGAACGGGUGAGUAACACGUGAGUAACCUGCCCUUGACUUUGGGAUAACUUCAGGAAACUGGGGCUAAUACCGGAUAGGAGCUCCUGCUGCAUGGUGGGGGUUGGAAAGUUUCGGCGGUUGGGGAUGGACUCGCGGCUUAUCAGCUUGUUGGUGGGGUAGUGGCUUACCAAGGCUUUGACGGGUAGCCGGCCUGAGAGGGUGACCGGCGAGAUUGGGACUGAGAUACGGCCCAGACUCCUACGGGAGGCAGCAGUGGGGAAUAUUGUACAAUGGGCGGAAGCCUGAUGCAGCAACGCCGCGUGCGGGAUGACGGCCUUCGGGUUGUAAACCGCUUUCGCCUGUGACGAAGCGUGAGUGACGGUAAUGGGUAGAGAAGCACCGGCUAACUACGUG
rnacentral:rRNA from 1 species